CUGUCCUACGGGGGGCAGCAGUGGGGAAUAUUGCACAAUGGGGGAAACCCUGAUGCAGCGACGCCGCGUGAGUGAAGAAGUAUCUCGGUACGUAAAGCUCUAUCAGCAGGGAAGAAAAUGACGGUACCUGACUAAGAAGCCCCGGCUAACUACGUGCCAGCAGCCGCGGUAAUACGUAUGGAGCAAGCGUUAUCCGGAUUUACUGGGUGUAAAGGGAGCGUAGGCGGCUCUGUAAGUCUGAUGUGAAAAUUUGGGGCUCAACCCCAAACGUGCAUUGGAAACUGCAGGGCUUGAGUGCCGGAGAG
rnacentral:rRNA from 1 species